GAACCGAAACGUGCUUGCACGCGCAGGAUCAUGGAUAUUGGACGGGCAAGCCGGUAUGAGUAAGGAGGGCGACAGCCCGGAUUACGAAUACUGGCGGCGAUUGCGGGAGCACGAAGUGCGGAGCAAUCG
rnacentral:sRNA from 1 species